AACGAACGCUGGCGGCAGGCCUAACACAUGCAAGUCGAGCGCGCCUUCGGGUGAGCGGCGGACGGGUUAGUAACGCGUGGGAACGUGCCCUUUUCUACGGAAUAGCCUCUGGAAACGGAGAGUAAUACCGUAUACGCCCUUUGGGGGAAAGAUUUAUCGGAGAAGGAUCGGCCCGCGUUAGAUUAGGUAGUUGGUGGGGUAACGGCCUACCAAGCCUACGAUCUAUAGCUGGUUUUAGAGGAUGAUCAGCAACACUGGGACUGAGACACGGCCCAGACUCCUACGGGAGGCAGCAGUGGGGAAUCUUAGACAAUGGGGGCAACCCUGAUCUAGCCAUGCCGCGUGAGUGAUGAAGGCCUUAGGGUCGUAAAGCUCUUUCGCCUGUGAUGAUAAUGACAGUAGCAGGUAAAGAAACCCCGGCUAACUCCGUGCCAGCAGCCGCGGUAAUACGGAGGGGGUUAGCGUUGUUCGGAAUUACUGGGCGUAAAGCGCGCGUAGGCGGAUUAGAAAGUUGGGGGUGAAAUCCCGGGGCUCAACCUCGGAACUGCCUCCAAAACUGCUAGUCUAGAGUUCGAGAGAGGUGAGUGGAAUUCCGAGUGUAGAGGUGAAAUUCGUAGAUAUUCGGAGGAACACCAGUGGCGAAGGCGGCUCACUGGCUCGAUACUGACGCUGAGGUGCGAAAGUGUGGGGAGCAAACAGGAUUAGAUACCCUGGUAGUCCACACCGUAAACGAUGAAUGCCAGUCGUCGGGUAGUAUACUAUUCGGUGACACACCUAACGGAUUAAGCAUUCCGCCUGGGGAGUACGGUCGCAAGAUUAAAACUCAAAGGAAUUGACGG
rnacentral:rRNA from 1 species